rnacentral:rRNA from 1 species
UACGUAGGCAGCGAGCGUUGUUCGGAGUUACUGGGCGUAAAGGGUGUGUAGGCGGUUGUUUAAGUUUGGUGUGAAAUCUCCCGGCUCAACUGGGAGGGUGCGCCGAAUACUGAAUGACUCGAGUGUGGGAGAGGUGAGUGGAAUUCCUGGUGUAGCGGUGAAAUGCGUAGAUAUCAGGAGGAACACCGGUGGUGUAGACGGCUCACUGGACCAUAACUGACGCUGAGACACGAAGCGUGGGUAGCAAACAGG